rnacentral:rRNA from 1 species
GUAGGUGGCAAGCGUUGUCCGGAAUUAUUGGGCGUAAAGCGCGCGCAGGCGGUUCUUUAAGUCUGAUGUGAAAGCCCACGGCUCAACCGUGGAGGGUCAUUGGAAACUGGGGAACUUGAGUACAGAAGAGGAAAGCGGAAUUCCACGUGUAGCGGUGAAAUGCGUAGAGAUGUGGAGGAACACCAGUGGCGAAGGCGGCUUUCUGGUCUGUAACUGACGCUGAGGCGCGAAAGCGUGGGGAGCAAACAGGGAUUAGAUACCCUGGUAGUCCACGCCGUAAACGAUGAGUGCUAAGUGUUAGGGGGUUUCCGCCCCCUUAGUGCUGCAGCUAACGCAUUAAGCACUCCGCCUGGGGAGUACGGCCGCAAGGCUG